CCCCCCGCGGGCUGACGGGCCCGGCCCGGCCUGACCUGAGGCCGCCUCGGAGCGGACCAGAGCGGACCAGCCCAGCCUGCUCGACCCGCCGAUCCACCAGCUCGCUCGCCCGCUAGUCACCUGGCGUGGCGCUGGACGAUGGCUCGGCCCUUCUAUCUAUAUCCUUAAAUAGACACAAAAUGCUGGUAUAUCUCAGCGAGACAGGCAACACCUCUGGAGAGAAGGAAUGGGUGAUGCUUCGGGUCAAGACCCUUCUUCAGACUGAUGUCAGGGAUGAGGGAGGCACAAAGAGAAGGAAGCGUAAGAUGCGAAAACAGGACAAAGGGGAUGAGUUUCAAGGAAGAUGUCGAAUAGAUCAUUGUAAGCUGGGAGAAGUCUCAAGAAGAGUCUCGACCCGAAACGUCACCCAUGCCUCGGGACGGCUGCUAUGGAGAGGAGACGGUCAUCCAUCUCUUUGCAGAGUGUGGAUUUGCAAAGCGAGUCUGGAGAGGUUUGCAAGGGUCCCUGUCACGAUUUAUUCCGAACAGCUCCUUCACAGAGGACUCUGUGAUUUUCGGACUGUGUUCCCAGGGACGUAUUCAUAGACUGACAUUGAGUGCUGCUGGAAGGCCAUCAACUCGGUGAAAGACGCUCUUUGGUCUGCCCAAGCUUUGUUGACCUCCCAGUGGGAUGACUGUCCGGGAAUGUUGCCGACUGGCCAAGUGCAGGAGCACGUGAUGAGGGACGCACUGAAGCUUGGUACAGCCAAUGCCAAAGCUCGGUGGGGGAGGACCACAGUCUCGAGUCCUUCUGCUGCUGGACAUGGGGGGCAGGGUGUGAUGGAAACACCCCUCAAAAUAAGGGAAGGGAUUCCACGCCAGUGGGCCGCAUGAGUGGCAAGGGUGGGGGAUAAACUUGUGAAAUGUGUUCAAUGUGUGUAAACAGCCUCUGAGAAUGUCAGAUUAAUCUUUUGCACGGUUCCUGUAUUGUAUAUAUUUAUUACUUGAAUAAAGUCUAUUUUGAAAUAACUUUUUUUAAAACCCUUCUCUCCAGAGAUGCUGCCUCCAGUUACUCCAGCUUUUUGUGUCUAUCUUUACUCAGUUUCUAUAGGUAAAUCUGAAAUGGAAAACGUAAAGGUCAUUGACCUGAAGCAUUCUUUACCGAUGCUGCCUACCCUGCUAUUUUCAGCAUUAUAAGUUUUUAUUGUAAAACACAAAUACACUUCAAAUGCAAAAUAAAAGUACAUACAGUUGCCACAGAUAUGAUAUCAGAACACUGAAGUGGAUUCGGACACCAUUUAUCUGAGCACUGACACUGUCCAGAAUUGCGCGCAACGCAGACAUGGCCUAUUACACUGGAACAAGUAGUAAGGGAUGCCUGUUUCUUCUGGAUGCACUCUUUGAGAAGUCUUAACAGAUGUCUGAACAUUGCCUAGAUUCUUUUCAAUUGUCUUCCAUCUGUUCUUCAUUCCAUUGUGUUAUGAUUUGGGGGCUUUACUGUAGUGGUUUGUAUUUCAGUAUGGAGCUUGCACGCUAACAGUUCAACUGUUGUCGAGGAAUUUGGUGAAUGCAAAGCCACAUCUUUUUAUUUUAUCCAUCAUAUUUUA